AAAUGAACCAACAGGAUUCAUGCUGAAGGCAGGCUGGGGUGAUCAGACAUCACCUGGGGCAACCAGAUCUGGAGGAUGGAGGGCUUCUUGCUAAAAUUAGGCUUUACAAGCAAGUGCACAGAUGUGCCUAGGAGAAGGUUCAGAAACCUGACUAAAUUUUGCUCAAGCCAAGGAUCUUUGUCAGUGUUCCCAAUGUAACUUUUUUUAAAUUUUUUAUUUUAUUUUAUUUUAUUUUAUUUUAUUUUAGUAUUUAUUGAUCAUUCUUGGGUGUU
rnacentral:lncRNA from 10 species